UACGUAGGGGGCAAGCGUUGUCCGGAUUUAUUGGGCGUAAAGAGCGUGUAGGCGGCCAGGUAGGUCCGUUGUGAAAACUCGAGGCUCAACCUCGAGACGCCGAUGGAAACCAUCUGGCUAGAGUCCGGAAGAGGAGAGUGGAAUUCCCGGUGUAGCGGUGAAAUGCGCAGAUAUCGGGAAGAACACCCGUGGCUAAGGCGGCUCUCUAGUACGGUACGUGAC
rnacentral:rRNA from 1 species